AAAACUGGUGUGGCUUUGAAGACCUUAUUUAUAUAAAUAUCAUGAAACAACAUUGAGAAGAUAAGUUAUUGUCUAAAAAAAUCAAAUUAUCCACUCCCGUUUUAAAUUGUAAAAAUAUAUUGAUCCUGGGUGAUGAAUUUGGUUACAGGUUGACGCAUAAACUCAUCCAAUACGGCGAAAAGCGUUUUGACAGUCCGUUGAAGAAAUAUAAACAGGACUCACUAUCAGUUAUGCCAUGCGAGACAUGAUACAAUCAAAAGUAAGCUGUGCCGUGUGUAGAUAUUGGAUUCGGCAUAUGAUCAGCUGGUGACUGAUAUCCAUCUGCGACCUUAUUCUGAGAGAUGUUUUGAAGAUCUCCUAAGAUCCUUCGAAAAAUUGAUGUCAAAGUGAACUGCAUUUGGAGAAGGCAUAGCUAUGGAUCGUUUCAGAGAGUUGUCCGAAUCACUAUUGAAAGAUAUGAAGGACUUUGACCUGGACCCACCAUUCAUGUUUGUAAGGCCUGAUGUCAGACAGAUUGGUCGAGUGAGAGAUUUGGUAUGCGAUGGAAAACUGAUGUCAUGACUCUGGAGGUUUCCCUUGUUACAGGUUGUACGGCAUUCCAUUCUGUUCAUAUAAAAGAGGAGUCAAUAUCAGUAAUGCCUUGCGACAUGAUCCAAUGAAAAAUAAGUUGACAACUGGUGCAGUGAUUUGAUUCUCUUCCACAUAAUAUCAUCCAGACUCCAAACCUUGAUGGCAUUGAAUUUUUCUGUAUCAUCAAUGGAGAUACCAAAUCCAAAAGUUUUGCCAACGACCUCCACAAGUUCAGCUGAUCAAGGUACAUGUUGUUGCAGUGGAGAUUAGAUUGUGUUAUUGAUGUUUCGGUCACGAAAUUCAUUUUGUAGCCAUGGCUGGUGUGUCUGUAAGUUCCAGAUGGUAGACUUAAGCGAAAGUUAGUAAUAACUAUCCACUCUCCAACACGACAAUGCAUCUGGAAUCGCUGCAAUAAUGAACUAUUGCAACUGGCCUGGAUUUUAACACCCUAUAUAAUACCAUUUCAAGAGAAGAACCAAUUUGGGAAUCGAUUGACAUCCAUGUAUGAAGCACUUUGACUUGGACUCUCCAGGAUGAUUUAAAAGGAUGAAUAUCACUCAGGUUGCUGAUUCGGAUAAAGGACUCCAUAAGUUUUAAAUGACGAUAGAUAGUUGUGAGUUUGGAAUGAUUAUAUUUGUUGUGGUUGCAUUGAUAUUUAUAGAGUAAUUGUCGUUGGAGUAGUAAUAGGAUAAGCAAUACAAUUAAAAUUGUUGUUGAUAUGGAAUAUUCUAAGGAUAUAUGAGAUAUGUGGAGUUACAAAAUAUA